CCCGGCACUGUGGACUUCUUUGGAAUUCGGAUGUUCCCACUGGUUUCCAACGCGGGGCUGCCCUCAGCGCAGGGUGCAGCACGGAGGAGGCCCACCGAAGUUUCAUCCCUGAGACCCACAUGGCGGAAGGAGAGGAUCAACUCCUUUAACAUAUUUUCUCAACACACAUGGACUGUGGAAUGUAUGCAUGCACACGCACACACGCAAUAAGCAUGUGUGGCCUCAGAAGAGGCAGAGCACCUAGGAGGUGGAAGGCUGACUGGGGUUGGGCGGACCAGUGAAGCUACUUUUCUGAGUCGUCCCUCAUGCUGGAGUGGGACUGCUGGCCUCCCAUGUCCCUUUAAGUGACCCCCAAUAAAUUCACUGGUUCACCAGAACGGAC